AACGAACGCUGGCGGCGCGUCUUAAGCAUGCAAGUCGAGCGGCAAGGGGGAGCAAUCCUCCCUAGAGCGGCGGACUGGUGAGUAACGCGUGGGUGACCUACCCUAAGGUUGGGGAUAGCCAUUAGAAAUAGUGGGUAAUACCGAAUAUGGUUGCGAGACUUUGGUUUUGCAAAGAAAGGGGCUUCGGCCCCGCCUCAGGAUGGGCCCGCGUCCCAUUAGCUUGUUGGUGAGGUAAAAGCCCACCAAGGCGAUGAUGGGUAGCCGGCCUGAGAGGGUGAACGGCCACACUGGGACUGAGAUACGGCCCAGACUCCUACGGGAGGCAGCAGCUAAGAAUAUUCCGCAAUGGACGAAAGUCUGACGGAGCGACGCCGCGUGGAUGACGAAGGCCGUGAGGUUGUAAAAUCCUUUUAUUGCUGAAGAAUAAGGCGGGGAGGGAAUGCCCUGCUGAUGACGUUAGGCAAUGAAUAAGCCCCG
rnacentral:rRNA from 1 species